rnacentral:rRNA from 1 species
GAUGAACGCUGGCGGCGUGCCUAAUACAUGCAAGUCGAGCGAACAGACGAGGAGCUUGCUCCUCUGACGUUAGCGGCGGACGGGUGAGUAACACGUGGAUAACCUACCUAUAAGACUGGGAUAACUUCGGGAAACCGGAGCUAAUACCGGAUAAUAUAUUGAACCGCAUUGUUCAAUAGUGAAAGACGGUUUUGCUGUCACUUAUAGAUGGAUCCGCGCCGCAUUAGCUAGUUGGUAAGGUAACGGCUUACCAAGGCAACGAUGCGUAGCCGACCUGAGAGGGUGAGCGGCCACACUGGAACUGAGACACGGUCCAGACUCCUACGGGAGGCAGCAGUAGGGAAUCUUCCGCAAUGGGCGAAAGCGUGACGGAGCAACGCCGCGUGAGUGAUGAAGGUCUUCGGAUCGUAAAACUCUGUUAUUAGGGAAGAACAAAUGUGUAAGUAACUAUGCACGUCUUGACGGUACCUAAUCAGAAAGCCACGGCUAACUACGUG